UUCAGGGGUAAACCUGAGAAACCCGAAAGGUCGAAAGGGGAAAUUCAUUCGCGUUUCGGAGGUCGGAGCGAGACGGUCGAGUGACGGGCGGCGUACGCGUCGUCCGCGCCUUCCGUCUUGCCAGUCCGAAUUCGACGCGUGCACUUUUCCCCUAGUAGGACGUCGCGAUCCGUUGGGUGUCGGUUUAAGGCCCGCGGCGGAGCCCGAGCGUACGUCUCGCGACGUUUCGCGCUCGGACCCGCGGUGUCCCGACCGACCCGCUCGACGGUAGACAGAUGGCGCGGGGCCGCUACCACUUACAGUUAGCGCUCGGCCCGCGGCAAGCGCGUCCGUUGUGACGGCGAUCGGACCUGGUGCCGGUCCUGUCCCCGGACGACUGUUGGCCGCGGUGUUCUCGAGCAGACCUCGUCUGUGAAACGCCGAUCUGCGACGCUAUAGCUUUGGGUACUUUCAGGACCCACGGACCAAGGAGUCUAGCAUGUGCGCGAGUCAUUGGGACAUAACUAAACCUAAAGGCGCAAUGAAAGUGAAGGUCCGCCUCGCGCGGACCUAGGGAGGAUGGGCGAUCCGUACGUAAGUGCGGUCGCUCCGCACUCCCGGGGCGUCUCGUUCUCAUCGCGAGAAGAGGCGCACCAAGAGC
rnacentral:rRNA from 1 species